rnacentral:rRNA from 1 species
GAUGAACGCUGGCGGCGUGCCUAAUACAUGCAAGUAGAACGCUGAAGGAAGGAGCUUGCUCUUCCCGGAUGAGUUGCGAACGGGUGAGUAACGCGUAGGUAACCUGCCUGGUAGCGGGGGAUAACUAUUGGAAACGAUAGCUAAUACCGCAUAACAGUAGAUGUUGCAUGAUAUCUACUUAAAAGGUGCAAUUGCACCACUACCAGAUGGACCUGCGUUGUAUUAGCUAGUUGGUGAGGUAACGGCUCACCAAGGCGACGAUACAUAGCCGACCUGAGAGGGUGAUCGGCCACACUGGGACUGAGACACGGCCCAGACUCCUACGGGAGGCAGCAGUAGGGAAUCUUCGGCAAUGGACGGAAGUCUGACCGAGCAACGCCGCGUGAGUGAAGAAGGUUUUCGGAUCGUAAAGCUCUGUUGUAAGAGAAGAACGAGUGUGAGAGUGGAAAGUUCACACUGUGACGGUAGCUUACCAGAAAGGGACGGCUAACUACGUG